AGUAAUUACAAAUGAUAUUAGACAGAAAACAAUAUCGUGGAAAACCUUUGGCCCAACCAAAAGUGGAAGGAGGAAGAAUACCGAUCUGGAGGUUUUAUUCUAGGAUAGGACACUACAUACAGUCAGUGUUUAAAGAGGAAAAACCAUCGAAGCGGAAAAACAAAUGGAUAAAAAAUAGGAUGAUAGAGCAUUGGGUUUGCAUGGUACGGUUCUCAUUGCCCUAUAAAUCAGAGAUAAAGACGAUAGUGAUUAAUUAACGUAAGUGGUAAGCCCGGGGAUGUUCAAUAGAUGGGUUAGCAAAUAUUAACCAUGAAAAAACCGUAGA